GGUUGCGAUCAUACCAGCACUAAUGCACCGGAUCCCAUCAGGACUCCGCAGUUAAGCGUGCUUGGGCGAGAGUAGUACUAGGAUGGGUGACCCCCUGGGAAGUCCUCGUGUUGCAACCCC
rnacentral:rRNA from 1 species